AGUGAACGCUGGCGGUAGGCCUAACACAUGCAAGUCGAACGGCAGCACAGUAAGAGCUUGCUCUUACGGGUGGCGAGUGGCGGACGGGUGAGGAAUACAUCGGAAUCUACUUUUUCGUGGGGGUUAACGUAGGGAAACUUACGCUAAUACCGCAUACGACCUACGGGUGAAAGCAGGGGAUCUUCGGAGCUUGCGGGAUUGAAUGAGCCGAUGUCGGAUUAGCUAGUUGGCGGGGUAAAGGCCCACCAAGGCGACGAUCCGUAGCUGGUCUGAGAGGAUGGUCGGCCACACUGGAACUGAGACACGGUCCAGAGUCCUACGGGAGGCAGCAGUGGGGAAUAUUGGACAAUGGGCGCAAGCCUGAUCCAGCCAUACCGCGUGGGUGAAGAAGACCUUCGGGUUGUAAAGCCCUUUUGUUGGGAAAGAAAAGCAGCAGGUUAAUACCCCGCUGUUCUGACGGUACCCAAAGAAUAAGCACCGGCUAACUUCGUG
rnacentral:rRNA from 1 species